rnacentral:tRNA from 1 species
AGUUUUUAUUUUGGAAAUAAAUAAUUUUGAAAAUUAUUAAAAAGUGUUCGACUCACUUAAAAGCUA